AAAGCGACCCAGUGUCCCCAACUACACUGAUCCCAGAGCAGGAAGCCGUUCAACUUGAAUAGUUUCACAGGGACAAUUAAACAAACAACAGCCGAAUUACAAUAAUUACUCAAAUGAGCCUUUUACCGUGUGGAGAAAUGCAGCCGGACGUUUGGCCGCGAGUCCGCAGCGAAGAGGCUGAACACUUCCCAGAAGUCUCAACAUAACUUUGCCAACCAUCCGCGCGGGAGCCAUCGUCAGCUGUUCACCGUGUCAGUCGAGUUGUUCGGGGCAUUCCGGGUGGAAAUCGCGUCCAGGGCGAGGGAACCAGAGCCCGGUGCUCCGCUGGAGAACAGGCCGGUGGGGGAAUAACAACAGACGCGGUGUUAGCAGCUACGGGACGGGACAGAGGGAGGAGCAGCCCCGGUGACUGAGCCGCAGUCCGCUUCCUCCUCACUGACAACAUGCGUCUGUGCCUCCUCACUCCUCUUUCAUUUGUCCUUGUCCGUCCCUCCCUGUUUCCUCACUGGUCUGUUCAAUGAAGCGGUCCGUCAGCAGGGCAGGGAGCCCGGCAGCAGCUGAGCAGGAUGAGCCCCCCCAACCGGAGGAGUCCAAACUACAGGAACACCAACCACCGACCCCCGAGCAACCAUGCAGACAGCUGCUCUACAACACAAGGUUGGCGGACCCUUCAGGCGACGGGCGGAACUUCCGUCGAAGAACCCGGAAGUGCUGCACAUGUCCCUCACAAAUCCACUGUUGGUUCCUCUUCCCCUUCGAGCUACGGCAGUAACAUGGACUCUCACAACCUACACGUCCACAAUGUCGCUGGGAUCAAAAGAGAAAACGGCUGACUGAGUCAUAAUCGAGGUAAGUGGAGGACUGUCGGAGUCAGAGGGACGGGCUGUUGUUUGAAGUGCAGGGGCGCACGCAGCCGAGGUAAUUGUGUCUGACGGGCGGCGAUAAUGAUGAGGCGCAGAUCAGAUCAUCUGCAGAUCCCCUUCCUCCAACCCCCUGCUGCUCGUCUUCACUCUUCCCUUCUCUCCUAAUUGACCGGGCCGCAUCUCCCCCGAGCCCCUUUGUUAUUAUUUAUUAAUAAUUCAUCGCUAAAUAAUUCACACCCUUGGACCCGCAGUGUUAAUUGAGCUGCAGCGCUGGUGGGUGUGUGAGACUGAAGGGUUAGAAGAAAGGAGAAGGGAAGGGGGGGAGGUUUGAAAAGUAGAGAUGAAGUGGGAAGUGGGCCUUCCUCGAUUUGUACGGGAUCAAAACCAGGGAAAAGGUGAGUUUAGUUGUGGUUACCGAAGGAGCUCAGGGGCAGUUGGACAUCACAGUCCGUUUGUCUGUUUGUGGGCUGAGAGCAAGAGAAUCAAUAGCGCUCAUUAUAAUUUGAGUUAAAGGGUUAAUUCUCACUCAGGUCACAUUCACCUCUUUGCAUGAUUGAUAUCUAAAUAACAAGAGGGGCAUAAAUACAUCAAAUUUUGAUAUUUACCUGGCUCUGCUCUUCAUCGAUUACUCUGCUGAGUGUUCUACUCAGUUCAUAUAUGAAUAGAAUUUUUGAUCGUGAUCAGUUAGAAUUGACGCAAAAAGUACAUCAGAUUGUUUCAGUUUUCAGAGAGCAAUCAGCAACUACCACUGAAUUAAAGACAACACACUUUACUUACUGCAGCAUCGCUGUUCUGAAGCUGCUUUUCUUUUACAACAUUACAGAUGGAAAAUCUUUUGGUUCCGAUUUUUGCCUUGAAAACAAUAUUUCAUAUGCAGACGACACAUUUGGCUUUAUUGAACUGUGAUGGAUAUUUCUCGCUUUUUUCUUACAAGAGAGACAUAUUACAUUUUUAAUCAAGAAUAGAAUCAGCAUUUUGAAAUAUAAUUGAAUAAUAAUUAUUUGCAGCACUAUUGGAAAGUAUCGAUAACAGAACUGUGCACAAUGAACUUGUAGUGAGUGAGAAGUGAGUGAAAAUGUGAUAUUAAAGUUGAGUUAUAUACAAAUUUAGAAGUAAUUCAUAUGCAUUUGUACAAAACCCAAUAUAUACACUGCAACAGAAAUGAAAGUUUAUUUGUUUCAGAUACCUUAUUAUAGCAACAGUGAAUUCAUCCAUCACUGAAAUUACGUCAUUAAACUGGUUAUUGAUUCAACUGUAAAAUAUCCACCUCUGUAAAUAGAUGAUGGUUCUUUUAUAAACAAAUCAAGUAACAAAAAUGUGUGUUUUAGUUAUGUACUGUAUCAUCAGAUUUAUAAAACUUAACUAAAAUAUCUAAUAGAAAAAAAAGAAGCCAGCGGUGCGUGUUCACAUGUGAAAUGA